UCAGAAAUGAGAGAUGAAACACUGGGUUUCAAGAGGUUUUUGGACCACAGGGAUGUGAAAGCUUUCUCCAACAUUGGGUCAUGAGGAACACUUUUUCCAG